rnacentral:rRNA from 1 species
AGUGAACGCUGGCGGUAGGCCUAACACAUGCAAGUCGAACGGCAGCACAGGAGAGCUUGCUCUCUGGGUGGCGAGUGGCGGACGGGUGAGGAAUACAUCGGAAUCUACUUUUUCGUGGGGGAUAACGUAGGGAAACUUACGCUAAUACCGCAUACGACCUACGGGUGAAAGCAGGGGAUCUUCGGACCUUGCGCGAUUGAAUGAGCCGAUGUCGGAUUAGCUAGUUGGCGGGGUAAAGGCCCACCAAGGCGACGAUCCGUAGCUGGUCUGAGAGGAUGAUCAGCCACACUGGAACUGAGACACGGUCCAGACUCCUACGGGAGGCAGCAGUGGGGAAUAUUGGACAAUGGGCGCAAGCCUGAUCCAGCCAUACCGCGUGGGUGAAGAAGGCCUUCGGGUUGUAAAGCCCUUUUGUUGGGAAAGAAAUCCAGCUGGCUAAUACCCGGUUGGGAUGACGGUACCCAAAGAAUAAGCACCGGCUAACUUCGUGCCAGCCGCCGCGGUAACAC